UGCGGGGAAGUGUAACGGUUGCAUGGGGGGCUCAUAACCCCCAGGUAGUGGGUUCAAUUCCCACCCCCGCUA
rnacentral:tRNA from 1 species